rnacentral:tRNA from 1 species
CGGGGAGUGGCGCAGCACGGCAGCGCGCCUGCUUUGGGAGCAGGAGGCCCCGGGUUCGAAUCCCGGCUCCCCGA